rnacentral:rRNA from 1 species
AUGCCUCUUAAAGUUAAGGCAAUCUCUUGGUUAGUAAUCAAAAAUAGGAUUCUAACCAAGGACAAUCUGAGUAAAAAAGGUUGGAAAGGUGCUAAGUUUUGUGAAUUUUGUGACUGUGAAGAGAGUGUGAAUCAUUUAUUUUUCUCUUGUUCCUUAGCUAAGUUCCUGUGGAAUAUUGUGGGAUGUGCUCUAGGGAACCAGAGAGCUCCAAUGUCUUUUUACGACCUAUGCCAGAACUGGUUGUCUAGCUAUACUGGCAAAGAUAGAGUAGUUUUUUUAUUGGGUACUGCUGCUCUCUUGUGGUCUAUAUGGAAAACAAGGAACAAAUCAUGUUUUCAAAGUGUUAUGCCUAGAGAUCCUACUGACAUUAUCGUUCUUGUUUGUUCCCUACCUGACUCUUGGAAAAAUCUGCAGAAAAGAGGGGUGCAAAGCAUGCUUCAUCAGGUGUCUAGACGUAUCGUGAGGGUGACUCGUGAUAUCUUCAAAGGAGGGCAUGGUUUGGCGCCGCAUGUGAGAAGGAUUUUGUGA